AGGAAUCUGCCUUCAACACUGGGAUAACUCCGGGAAACCGGGGCUAAUACCGGAUACGAGCCUUGAUCGCACGAUCGAGGCUGGAAAGUUUUUCGGUUGAAGAUGACCUCGCGGCCUAUCAGCUUGUUGGUGAGGUAAUGGCUCACCAAGGCGACGACGGGUAGCCGGCCUGAGAGGGCGACCGGCCAC
rnacentral:rRNA from 1 species